UCUGUGUAGAGCUGGCUGUCUCGGGGCUCUCUCUACUAUAGACCUGGUUAGCCUGGAACUCACAGAGAUCCUUUUGCCUCUUCAUCCGGAAUUCUGGGAUUAAAGGUGAUCUUCUAGUUCUCUCAGCAAAAAUGGGUGCUCGUUAAAUUCUUCGUCAGUCAGGUUGCAGGCAAAUUGGAUUCGAAGUUUCACACACCUGGUAGCCAAGCGUGCCUUCAGGAUUGUGGGAUUGAAGCUUUUCCCACCAGAUUUUAAAGCCUAAGACCACGGUGUCCCUCCUUCUGCCCAGGGUCCACCCAGGGACACUGAAUCAAGGACCAAUGCCACCCGACCAAGAUGGACAUAAUGCAGCCACGGCCCUGGAUCAAUAAAGUUACAAUCUAACAGCCCCACCCAGGUAUCAGAUUUGCCCAUGGAAAACCAUUGCUGAGAUGAGACUCGAGUCAGGAGCAGCUGAUGAGACCCAGUGCUCACAGCAUUUUCCAGAGAGGGAACCGGAGGUGCAAGGCAAGAACCCUCACAUCUGUGGUCGGUGAGCUCAGGACAUCUCUGGGAAAGGGCCUUGGAGGCUGUGAGUGAUGUGUGUGGAAAAAGAGGGGAUUCCCUGACAGCCCUCCAUAAGGGGGCAAAGCUCAGAGGCUCCAGGAGCCAUAGAAGAGGCAUUGUGGAAGUGUGGGCAGGCCGGAAGGAUCCCCAGAGGUGCCUGCAGUGACACAUAGACAUGUGAGCCUCACAGAGCAGGUAAUGAACUCAUGGCCCUGCUGGCUCUGAGCCUGCCUGGAUUUGACAUGUGUCGCAAGCAUGUUUGGUAGAGAAUGU
rnacentral:lncRNA from 1 species